UUCAGAUUUGAGAAAAUUUUUGAUCAAGAGGCAAAACAAGAUGUGAUUUUUGACAGCAUUGCCAAACCAGUAGCAGAAUGUUUGCAAAGCCAAAUUUAAGACUGAUGAGGACUUCUGCAUUCAUUGUGUGGAUUGAAUGCUACUCUGAAACGGUGGAUUUUCCAGUGGAACAUGGAUUUUAUGCCAUUCUCUUUGCUCAGUUUACUGUCUGCAUUGCUGAAGUUUGUACUGGUUUUAGUGUGGGAGAAAAUCCCAUGCUGGAGGAAGCAGAAUUUCUGCAUAGUGUUUGCUUAUUUAUCAAACUUACUGCUCAAAAUCCAGACUUGUAUUGAGUUGGGGAGUACUACUUCAAGUGACAACUUCUUUCUCAUUCAUCAUUGGUUUAUGCCGUGAUUCUUCAAGCUAUUCCUCAAUCUAUUGCACAGCCCAGUGUUUAGCACUGUAGGAAAACAAACGUCUUCAGCUGGAUACUAAUCCUUUCUCAAGUUGUUACAUGGAAGAAAAAUAUAUCUCUCUCUUUAUAAUUUCAUUUUGUUUCUCCACACCCCUCCUGUUUUCUUCCUUAAAGUCCCACAUAAAGCAGAAAGGUAAUUGACAGUGAAAUGAAGAGCCAGUGAAUUUUAUUCGAAUAAGCUAAAUAGACUUAAAGAUAGUUGUUGUAUUGUUAUUUUCUCAUCCAAAAGAUAUUUCUUUGCUUAUCCAACAGUAUCACAUUUAGCUUCAUGUUAAGUCAUACACUUAAUUUUAAAUAUUUCUGGGUUUAAUGUUGACAUUAGAAAAAAACCCUUUAUCUAAUUUGAGUGUGUUUUGAAAGAGAAGCAUUAAAAUUCUCAUUUUUACAUACUAUGGACUUAAUUAUCCUCAACAGAAGCUCAGAGUAUCAAAAUUAACUAGUAAUAAACUGGCUACUUUUUUUCCCCUUGGAGUGUUUUGCUAGAAUAUGGAAAUGUUUUCCAGUUGAACAAUUCAUCUAUACAAUGCUCUAAUAAACAGGAAAGGGUAUUAUUCUCCUUUAUUUCAGUGUUAGCUGAUAAAAAGGUUAUUUUAUAUAUUAAUUUUCUCCAUUAUGUAGGCUUUAGUUUCAGGGUUUAGAUAUUUUUAAGUACUUGAAAGUACUUAAAUGCUAUUAAAAUCAAUGGUUUUUAGGCAGACAAUUAUCCUCAAAUGGCUGUGUUUUUAAUGCUAAAAGUGACUUAUAAAACCAAUCUUAAUGAAAUCAAGAUUUUGUCUCUGAGCAUAAUAAUGUGGUAAAGCCUGUAUUCUAAAUUAUACUUGUGUUGUUACUGAUAAUUUUACUUGUGUUUUUAUAACAGAGUAGACAAUAACUGAAGUAUGUUCAUGUUUUUAUCUACUCCCUUAAUUUUUAACCUCUUUUUAGACAAAAAUGUAUAUUUCAAAAUAUCUUUGGAGUCAUGAGGUUCCUUGACUAAUGGAGUCCUGAACUGGGCCUGAAAUUUUCAGUCAGUGGUUAAUGGUAAAAUUUUUCUUUCCGUCAUGGAACAAUAAGAAUUGCCCUGUUUCUUUUAAAGACCACAGUUUUCACAGCAAAAUGUCCUUCAUUAUUUGUUUCUUUCACACUCAGUAUUCUUGCAUGAAAAAGCUGUUGCAGGUACACACAUUUCUGUUGUUGGAGUUACUUUACUAAGGGAACAGUUUUUGUGUGUGUAUUGCCAGGGAAAAGAAAGUAGCAGGAAAAUAUCAGUGAAAUAGUUCAGUAACAUUCUGAGGUUCUUUGUCAUGCCUUCUUGCAGUCCUGAGAAAAUUCAGUUAGACUUGAAUGCUGAGGGGAAAGAAAAUCAAUUUUUGGGCAUUGUUUAAACUAAAACCAGAAAGACAAUGCUCAGGAUUCUAAAAUUUUUCUAGUUUGUUCUUGGAUGGAUGGAAAUUGAAUGCAACUUUCUUUUCUCUCUUUGUUUUUUUUAAUUUUUCUUUUUAAGUGUGUUUUCUUUGUUGUUGGGCCUACUUCUCUUUCUGUAAGUCCAGUUACAUUGUCAUCUUGCCUGUGGUUUCAGAGGCACCAGUCGUUAGAUUGUUUAAUUUGCUUCUUCAGUCAAAAGUACCAGCCUCUGCAAACCAUUAUAAGCAUAUGAUUUGCUUGGACUUCAUUACUUUUCUUCUGUCCUUGAGUCAUCUUUUACAUUGUUUCUUUUCCUUCUAAUUUUAAAUAUAUAUUCUUGAUAAUGUUUUUGUGCAGGAUCAACUUGAUGUUUAAGAAGCAGCACUAAUUCUGUUACUCUAUCAAAACCAGAAAAUAAAUAGCAUCCUACUUUAAAAGUUUGCUAAUAAUUAAGCAUUGCUUUAGUCUCACAACUAAACAAGGCUACUCUCAAAAUGUUUCAAGUAUUAGUAUUAUUAUUAUGUAUGCAAUCAGAAAUUAAGUAGAAAAUGUUAACUGUUUUGAAUUAGCUGAGUUUUUAGUUCUAAUAUGGCCAAUGUUUCGGUAUUAGAUUUCUUGAUUUAUUAAAGAAUAACAUUUGAAAAUAUUUUCUCUUCAGUUGUCUCAAGCAAAUAAGAAAUAGCUGUUUAUAAACCUAAUGGCAAUGACCUGUGAUCUUUUGAAAAAUCUGAUGGCCUUGGGGAUAAUGCUCCCAUUGCUGCAGUUUCUGGUUUCUUACGUGCUAUACUUAUCCUAAGAAAUUGCAUCUAUAAUAUAUAAACUACUUCAGUUUACUCUCAACUGGUUUGGUGGGGUUUUUUUCUGCUGUGUAUUCUUACAGAAAAUUAGUAAAAAUAUUUUUAUUAACGAUUAUUAUUUUUGUACCUGGAUGUAUUUAUCACAGUGUGUAAAGUAAUGGUCUGGCUCAUCUGCAUCACAAAGACUUGUAGAAUCUAUAUAGAGCAAAAGGACACAUUCUUUGGAUGUCAUCUUGAAAGAAGUGUAGCCUGAACUUCCCCCUAAAUUGAGAAAUUAGUAAUGCUAGCUGUUCUUUCUUAAUGUGAGUACAAUUACAUGGCAAUAAAAAGUGAAAAGUGUCAAUGAUGUUUCUUCUCAAAUGACUAUUAGUUACUUGUGUUUGUUUUGACUUAAAGUGUACAAUUUAGAAUUGUUCAAGAAGGUUGCUUAAUUAAAGUUACAGGUUGACACCUUUGAUUCAGAA